AGAGUUUGAUCCUGGCUCAGAACGAACGCUGGCGGCAUGGUUAAGGCAUGCAAGUCGAACGCGAAAGUUUUUUUCGAAAGACGAGUAGAGUGGCGUAAGGGCGAGUAAUGCAUGGGUAACGUACCCCAAGCACGAGGAUAGCUUCGAGAAAUCGGAGGUAAUACUCGAUGAGACCACGGUGUCAUAAGGCACAGCGGUCAAAGGGCGGGGAUCCCUUCGGGGACCUGUCGGCUCGGGAGCGGCCCAUGUCCUAUCAGCUUGUUGGUGAGGUAACGGCUCACCAAAGCUUCGACGGGUAGCGGGACUGAGAGGUUGGCCCGCCGCAUUGGGACUGAGACACUGCCCAGACUCCUACGGGAGGCUGCAGCACCGAAUAUUGUGCAAUGGGCGCAAGCCUGACACAGCAAUGCCGCGUGCGGGAGGAAGUCCUUCGGGAUGUAAACCGCUGUCAGGGGCUACCAAGCAAUGGGGUUUAAUAGACCCUUGCGUUGAGGAGCCCCAGAGGAAGCCACGGCUAACUUCGUGCCAGCAGCCGCGGUAAUACGAAGGUGGCGAGCGUUGUUCGGAAUCACUGGGCUUAAAGAGCACGUA
rnacentral:rRNA from 1 species